rnacentral:rRNA from 1 species
GGCGGGGUGCUAUACAUGCAGUCGAGCGGACAGAUGGGAGCUUGCUCCCUGAUGUUAGCGGCGGACGGGUGAGUAACACGUGGGUAACCUGCCUGUAAGACUGGGAUAACUCCGGGAAACCGGGGCUAAUACCGGAUGGUUGUUUGAACCGCAUGGUUCAAACAUAAAAGGUGGCUUCGGCUACCACUUACAGAUGGACCCGCGGCGCAUUAGCUAGUUGGUGAGGUAACGGCUCACCAAGGCAACGAUGCGUAGCCGACCUGAGAGGGUGAUCGGCCACACUGGGACUGAGACACGGCCCAGACUCCUACGGGAGGCAGCAGUAGGGAAUCUUCCGCAAUGGACGAAAGUCUGACGGAGCAACGCCGCGUGAGUGAUGAAGGUUUUCGGAUCGUAAAGCUCUGUUGUUAGGGAAGAACAAGUACCGUUCGAAUAGGGCGGUACCUUGACGGUACCUAACCAGAAAGCCACGGCUAACUACGUGCCAGCAGCCGCGGUAAUACGUAGGUGGCAAGCGUUGUCCGGAAUUAUUGGGCGUAAAGGGCUCGCAGGCGGUUUCUUAAGUCUGAUGUGAAAGCCCCCGGCUCAACCGGGGAGGGUCAUUGGAAACUGGGGAACUUGAGUGCACAAGAGGAGAGAGGAACUCCACGUGUUACGGUCAAAUGCGUAGAAAUGUG